rnacentral:rRNA from 1 species
CGUGAGUGGCGGACGGGUGAGCAACGCGUGGGCAACCUGCCCCGUACCGGGGGACAACAGCCGGAAACGGCUGCUAAUACCGCAUAUUCCCGCGGGGCCGCAUGGCCCUGCGGGAAAGCUCCGGCAGUACGGGAUGGGCCCGCGUCUGAUUAGCUUGUUGGCGGGGUAACGGCCCACCAAGGCUGCGAUCAGUAGCCGGCCUGAGAGGGCGGCCGGCCACAUUGGGACUGAGACACGGCCCAGACUCCUACGGGAGGCAGCAG